rnacentral:lncRNA from 1 species
AAUAAAAAUACAGAAACAACACCAAACAUUUAUCAUCCUCAGAGUUUCUAUGUGUCAAGAGUUCAGUGUGGCUUGGCCAGGUGGCUCUGGCUCAGGGUCUUUCAUGAGGUUGCCAUCAUUGGAAGGCUUCCAAGGUGGCUCACUCACAGGAAUCGUUGAUGUUAGGGGUUGGUAGAAGGCCUCAGUUCCUCCCACAUAGUUCCAGCCCCACAGUCUUGCUUCACUGUCCUCCUAACCUGAUGGCUGACUUCCCUCAGAGCAAGUGAUCUGAGAGAAAGAGAAACAGAGAGACAGAAAGAGAGAAAAAGAGAUCAAUCUAGGCAGAAGCUAUCCUUCUUAUGACCAGGCCUUGGAAACUACAGCAAUACUUCUACCACAUUCUAUUCAUUAGAAGUGAGUCACUGAGUAUGGAUGGGAGGUUACAUUUUAUUUUUUGAAGGGAGGAGGUCAAAGUUUUGUAGAUGGGUUAAAAACCACCAUACAUAUGAAAAAAAAAGGAAAAAAAUAGCCUUUUAGGUCUGCACUCACUCAUCCUCACCUGUUAUAUCUUCUUAUUUUUUAUCUCCAGUCUGGAACAAAGAGGCCCCGAGGCCCAGUGGGAGAUUUGGGCAGCAGAGGACAGCCCACCCGCAUGGACCACAUAAGUGGCAAAAGCUUCGUUCCUGCCUUGAUGGGUAUUCCCAAGAACCCACUGAGGACCUUGAAGGGCCUGGGAAUCUGCGGGAUGUGAAGGAUGCAGGGGCAGCUCUGGGACUCUGUGGGGCUGGGCAGC